rnacentral:rRNA from 1 species
UACGUAGGUGGCAAGCGUUUGUCCGGAUUUACUGGGCGUAAAGAGCGCGCAGGCGGUCGAUCAAGUCGCGUGUGAAAGCCCCCGGCUCAACUGGGGAGGGUCACGCGAUACUGAUCGACUCGAAGGCAGGAGAGGGUAGUGGAAUUCCCGGUGUAGUGGUGAAAUGCGUAGAUAUCGGGAGGAACACCAGUGGCGAAGGCGACUACCUGGCCUGUUCUUGACGCUGAGGCGCGAAAGCUAGGGGAGCAAACGGGG